GCUCAGUUGGUUAAGUGUCAGACUCCUGAUUUCAGUUCAGGUCAUGAUCUCAUGGUUUAUGGGUUAGAGUCCCUCAUUGGGCU
rfam:Felis catus breed Abyssinian Contig206933.1, whole genome shotgun sequence. [26-MAY-2016]